UGUCCAGUUUUCCUCGGCAGUUAGCUGCCGCCGGUUCACUAAAAACUUCGGCAGUUAACUGCCGAAGGGCAU
rnacentral:pre_miRNA from 1 species